rnacentral:rRNA from 1 species
ACGAGAAUCUGUAGAACGAGGAUUCGUCCAAGUGAAGCAGAGGACAGUGGCGGACGGGUGAGUAACGCGUGAGGAACCUGCCUUUCAGAGGGGGACAACAGUUGGAAACGACUGCUAAUACCGCAUGACACAUUGAAGUCGCAUGGCUUUGAUGUCAAAGAUUUAUCGCUGAAAGAUGGCCUCGCGUCUGAUUAGCUAGUUGGUGAGGUAACGGCCCACCAAGGCGACGAUCAGUAGCCGGACUGAGAGGUUGAACGGCCACAUUGGGACUGAGAUACGGCCCAGACUCCUACGGGAGGCAGCAGUGGGGAAUAUUGGGCAAUGGGCGCAAGCCUGACCCAGCAACGCCGCGUGAAGGAAGAAGGCUUUCGGGUUGUAAACUUCUUUUGUCAGGGACGAGCAGAAGACGGUACCUGACGAAUAAGCCACGGCUAACUACGUGCCAGCAGCCGCGGUAAUACGUAGGUGGCAAGCGUUGUCCGGAUUUACUGGGUGUAAAGGGCGUGUAGCCGGGAGGGCAAGUCAGAUGUGAAAUCCACGGGCUCAACUCGUGAACUGCAUUUGAAACUACUCUUCUUGAGUAUCGGAGAGGCAAUCGGAAUUCCUAGUGUAGCGGUGAAAUGCGUAGAUAUUAGGAGGAACACCAGUGGCGAAGGCGGAUUGCUGGACGACAACUGAC